UAAUACGGAGGGUGCAAGCGUUAUCCGGAUUUACUGGGUUUAAAGGGUGCGUAGGUGGGUCUGUAAGUCAGUGGUGAAAUCUCCGAGCUUAACUCGGAAACUGCCAUUGAUACUAUAGAUCUUGAAUAUCCUGGAGGUGAGCGGAAUAUGUCAUGUAGCGGUGAAAUGCUUAGAUAUGACAUAGAACACCAAUUGCGAAGGCAGCUCACUACGGGAUUAUUGACACUGAGGCACGAAAGCGUGGGGAUCAAACAGGAUUAGAUACCCUGGUAGUCCACGCCCUAAACGAUGGAUACUCGACAUCAGCGAUACACUGUUGGUGUCUGAGCGAAAGCAUUAAGUAUCCCACCUGGGAAGUACGAUCGCAAGAUUG
rnacentral:rRNA from 1 species